rnacentral:rRNA from 1 species
AUUGAACGCUGGCGGCAUGCCUUACACAUGCAAGUCGAACGGUAACGGGCCUUCGGGUGCCGACGAGUGGCGAACGGGUGAGUAAUGUAUCGGAACGUACCUUUCAGUGGGGGAUAACGUAGCGAAAGUUACGCUAAUACCGCAUAUUCUGUGAGCAGGAAAGCAGGGGAUCGCAAGACCUUGCGCUGAUUGAGCGGCCGAUAUCAGAUUAGCUAGUUGGUGAGGUAAAGGCUCACCAAGGCGACGAGCUGUAGCGGGUCUGAGAGGAUGAUCCGCCACACUGGAACUGAGACACGGUCCAGACUCCGACGGGAGGCAGCAGUGGGGAAUUUUGGACAAUGGGGGCAACCCUGAUCCAGCCAUGCCGCGUGAGUGAAGAAGGCCUUCGGGUUGUAAAGCUCUUUCGGCCGGGAAGAAAUCGUAUCAGCUAAUACCUGGUGCGGAUGACGGUACCGGCAUAAGAAGCACCGGCUAACUACGUGCCAGCCGCCGCGGUAAAAC